AACGAACGCUGGCGGCAUGCCUAACACAUGCAAGUCGAACGAGACCUUCGGGUCUAGUGGCGCACGGGUGCGUAACGCGUGGGAACCUGCCCUUAGGUUCGGAAUAACUCCCCGAAAGGGGUGCUAAUACCGGAUAAUGUCUUCGGACCAAAGAUUUAUCGCCUUUGGAUGGGCCCGCGUUGGAUUAGCUAGUUGGUAGGGUAAAAGCCUACCAAGGCGACGAUCCAUAGCUGGUCUGAGAGGAUGAUCAGCCACACUGGGACUGAGACACGGCCCAGACUCCUACGGGAGGCAGCAGUGGGGAAUAGUGGACAAUGGGCGAAAGCCUGAUCCAGCAAUGCCGCGUGAGUGAUGAAGGCAUUAGGGUUGUAAAGCUCUUUUAACCGGGAUGAUAAUGACAGUACCGGGAGAAUAAGCUCCGGCUAACUCCGUG
rnacentral:rRNA from 1 species